AUUCUUUGUAGAACAUCAAAGGGCAACAGCUCCAGAGUGAACCCCUGAAUGUACCCAGCACUAGCUACUGUGGCUACUCUAAUGGCUCCAACAAAUGAAGCUAAACAUUGAGAGCAUUUGCAGAGUGUGACAAGUGUGGAUGGUAGUGGAGUGUCACAUACCCAGAGCUGGUGACGAGGGAGCUGAAGUGGGAGUGCGUCAAGACGACGUUUGUGGCAGCACACUCUGUAGCACAGCCUGCGUCGGCUCACUUGCUAGGCAACCUCUGAAUGCUGCCUUUCUCAAGUGUUUGGGAGGAGUUAUACCAUGAAAAUGACAGUGGAGCCUGCUCUGCUCUCUUGUUCCAUGGAAGAGUAUUGUCCAAGAGGUGGUGUCUUUUGCAGCUGCCAAAGUGUAAAAUUAUGGAGCUAAACCUCUUUGCUGAAAUGAUGUCCAAGGCUAAUUCAUCUGUCACAUGGCAUCCUACAUCUGGACACGCAAAAACUGUUUAUGGGAGAGUCCCCCACGGGACUCAUAUGGAUUUACAACAGAACAACUAAGAUUCUUAUGCAUGAAGACUGAUUGAAAAUGUAUAUGUAUAAAAAUAUCAGAAGAAAGAAUUCAAUCAGAAGAAUGACAAGAAUUGUUUACCAAGGAAACAGCUGUUUUAACUAAAAUCUGAAAAGUGUGUAUUUGCAUCAGGAUAAGAAAGCUGUUGCUCUGAUAAGGCCACAGUAGAGAUGACUUCUCAGCAGAAAGCUUGUGCUCUGAUAACAGGAGAAAGGCAACAAGCUACAACUCUGUGUGCUGUUUCUUCCCCUACCUGUUAUCCCAAGAGGAAUUUGGUCUAAGAUUUGUGGAAAAUGAAGCAAAAACAUAUCUUGAGGUAAAAGGUCAUGAUACCUAGUGUUGCUCCAGCUGUGUAUGAAAUAACCCUGGGUGAUGAUGCUUCCAGACUUAUUCCUUGGGGAAACCAAGCAGUAUUUAAUAAGCCUGUCUUUAUGAGGAAUUUUUCCUUCUUACUAGCCUAGAGUCCCCUGAAAUCAAACACAGUGUCCACAUCAUCAUAUUUAAAAAUCAGUAAGACUUUCAUUGAGGGAAAAAGCCCCAUAGAAACCCUUUGCAUUCAGAAUAGUAAAGUAAUGCCCAGAUCAAAAUUAAUUCUCAUAGGUAAACAUCUCCUGAUUUUAUAUGGAUCUGAAAUUUGGACCAGAAUUUUGUUUAGCAAAUAAUUAUUUUAUUGAAGGUUCUUUAAACUUGUUUGCUCUGAAAAUGACUGUCUGUGCAGCCACCAUAGGUCACUCGGUGGCUUGUGGGGAAGAUGUUUAAUUUUGCACAGAAAAAGUGUUCCAUUUUCUCUCCAAAAGGUGAAGUGAUGACUCUGUCUGCAAGACUGGAUGCUCAUUUUCAACAACAAUUUCUUUAAGGAAUAAGUAGUCAUUCAGUUGAGUGUCUUUUAAUGUUGUUAAUCCAGUUAAGUGCUUGUGCAAAGGAGCUAACAAUAAUGGCUAACCCAUCUGAAAGUCACCCAUAAUUGUCAGGAUCUGGCAAAAGGCUGCCUCAAACACACCGGCUCAUACCCUGCAGCUGACAUGUCUUCUUCCCUUGAAGCUCCCUUUCUGCACUUCUUUCUGUCUUGGUUUAUUUUGUCAUGUCAAGUAAUGUCAUAGCUGUGACAAUCUUGUUUCCAAAGUCUUUAGUACUCAUUCCUGACCAGUUUAUCUCAGAUAAACUCUUUUAUUCCCUUUCAGUAAUUUAUAAACUAUAGCUGGUGUCUUCAUAAGAUGGUUUUUCACAGCAUUUAAGUUUUAAAUUAUGUUAUUAUGGCCAUAAGCUAUAAGACAAAGGAUCAUGUAGUGGGAACGAUUUUCUGACAUGAAAAUCAGUUUUUGCAUAAUUCAAAUGUUCUGGAGAAAAAGAUGAAUAAAAAAUUUUGUUCUGGCUCUGCUCA
rnacentral:lncRNA from 1 species